UACGUAGGGUGCGAGCGUUGUCCGGAAUUACUGGGCGUAAAGAGCUCGUAGGUGGUUUGUCGCGUUGUUCGUGAAAACCGGGGGCUUAACCCUCGGCGUGCGGGCGAUACGGGCAGACUGGAGUACUGCAGGGGAGACUGGAAUUCCUGGUGUAGCGGUGGAAUGCGCAGAUAUCAGGAGGAACACCGGUGGCGAAGGCGGAUCUCUGGGCAGUAACUGACGCUGAGGAGCGAAAGCGUGGGGAGCGAACAGG
rnacentral:rRNA from 1 species